rnacentral:rRNA from 1 species
GACGGAGGAUGCAAGCGUUAUCCGGAAUGAUUGGGCGUAAAGCGUCCGCAGGUGGCAGUUCAAGUCUGCUGUCAAAGACCGGGGCUUAACUUCGGAAAGGCAGUGGAAACUGAACAGCUAGAGUAUGGUAGGGGCAGAGGGAAUUCCUGGUGUAGCGGUGAAAUGCGUAGAUAUCGUCAAGAACACCUAUAGCGAAGGCAGCUAACUAAACUUUAACUGACGCUGAGGCACGAAAGUGUGGGGAUCAAACAGG